UACGUAGGGGGCUAGCGUUGUCCGGAAUCAUUGGGGGUAAAGCGCGUGUAGGCGGGAGGCCAAGUCUGCGGUGAAAUCGCUCGGCUCAACUGGGCGGGGUCCGUGGAAACUGGUCACCUGGAGGACGGUAGAGGCGAGUGGAAUUCCCGGUGUAGUGGUGAAAUGCGUAGAGAUCGGGAGGAACACCAGUGGCGAAGGCGGCUCGCUGGGCCGGACCUGACGCUGAGACGCGAAGGCGUGGGGAGCGAACGGG
rnacentral:rRNA from 1 species